AAAAAAUUUCCAUUGCUACUUAAAUAUUCAUAGAUCAUGGAAGAUAAUCUUGUGCUGAAGACAAAUUUCCACUGGUGUUGCUUUAAGGUUUGUCAAUCCUGUACCCUCACUCGUAUCAAUCACUAUCCGCAAUUCGAACCCGUGAAGCACCUGGAGACUGAACGGUAAGUGUUAAGUCCUGACCUCUGACAUAUCCAAACUGAGAUGUGCCUGCUGGAUGU
rnacentral:misc_RNA from 1 species